rnacentral:rRNA from 1 species
CGUGAGAGGUGUGUGUAGGCAAAUCCGCACACUGAUACCUCAAGCUGUGAUGGGGAGGGAAAAUCAUAGUACCGAAGGUCAUGUACCCACGCUGCCAAGAAAAGCCUCUAGCCAGGAGAAGGUGCCCGUACCGCAAACCGACACAGGUGGGCGAGAUGAGAAUUCUAAGGCGCGCGGAAGAACUCUCGUUAAGGAACUCGGCAAAAUGACCCCGUAACUUCGGGAGAAGGGGUGCCCCGGUAGUGUGAAUAGCACGAGGGGGCCGCAGUGAAGAGGCCCAAGCGACUGUUUAGCAAAAACACAGGUCUGUGCGAAGCCGUAAGGCGAAGUAUACGGGCUGACGCCUGCCCGGUGCUGGAAGGUUAAGAGGAGUGGUUAGCCGCAAGGCGAAGCUAUGAAUUGAAGCCCCAGUAAACGGCGGCCGUAACAAUAACGGUCCUAAGGUAGCGAAAUUCCUUGUCAGGUAAAUUCUGACCCGCACGAAUGGCGUAACGACUUGGGCGCUGUCUCAACGAGAGAUCCGGUGAAAUUUUAGUACCUGUGAAGAUGCAGGUUACCCGCGACGUGACGGAAAGACCCCAUGGAGCUUUACUGUAGCUUGAUAUUGAACUUUGGUACGGUCUGUACAGGAUAGGUGGGAGCCUUUGAAGCAGGAGCGCAAGCUUCUGUGGAGGCGCCGUUGGGAUACCACCCUGAUUGUAUCGGAGUUCUAACUCGCUGCCCUUAUCGGGCAGGAGGACCGUGUCAGGCGGACAGUUUGACUGGGGCGGUCGCCUCCUAAAAUGUAACGGAGGCGCUCUAAGGUUCCCUCAGCGCGGUUGGAAAUCGCGCGCAGAGUGCAAAGGCAUAAGGGAGCUUGACUGCGAGACCUACAAGUCAAGCAGGGACGAAAGUCGGACUUAGUGAUCCGGUGGUACCGAAUGGAAGGGCCAUCGCUCAACGGAUAAAAGCUACCCUGGGGAUAACAGGCUUAUCUCCCCCAAGAGUCCACAUCGACGGGGAGGUUUGGCACCUCGAUGUCGGCUCAUCGCAUCCUGGGGCUGAAGUAGGUCCCAAGGGUUGGGCUGUUCGCCCAUUAAAGCGGUACGCGAGCUGGGUUCAGAACGUCGUGAGACAGUUCGGUCCCUAUCUGUCGCGGGCGUAGGAAAUUUGAGAGGGGCUGUCCUUAGUACGAGAGGACCGGGAUGGACGCACCGCUGGUGUACCAGUUGUUCCGCCAGGAGCAUCGCUGGGUAGCCAAGUGCGGAAGGGAUAAGCGCUGAAAGCAUCUAAGCGCGAAGCCUGCCUCAAGAUGAGAUUUCCCAAUUCGUAGGACCCCUGGAAGAACACCAGGUUGAUAGGCUCGGGGUGGAAGCGCGGUAACGUGUGCAGCUGACGAGUACUAAUCGGUCGAGGGCUUACC